CCUACGGGAGGCAGCAGUGAGGAAUAUUGGUCAAUGGCCGGAAGGCUGAACCAGCCAUGCCGCGUGAAGGUCAGUGCCCUAUGGGCGUUAAACUUCUUUUGUGCGGGAGCAAUAAUGGUCACGUGUGGCCAGACGAGAGUACCGUACGAAUAAGCAUCGGCUAACUCCGUGCCAGCAGCCGCGGUAAUACGGGGGAUGCAAGCGUUAUCCGGAUUUAUUGGGUUUAAAGGGUGCGUAGGCUGUGAGGUAAGUCAGCGGUGAAAUGCCUCCGCUCAACGGGGUGAAGUGCCAUUGAUACUGCCUGGCUGGAAUGCGGAUGCCGUGGGAGGAAUGUGUGGUGUAGCGGUGAAAUGCAUAGAUAUCACACAGAACACCGAUUGCGAAGGCAUCUCACGAAUCCGCGAUUGACGCUGAUGCACGAAAGCGUGGGUAUCAAACAGGAUUAGAUACCCGAGUAGUC
rnacentral:rRNA from 1 species